AGACACGAGUGUAGUUUACAUAUAAAGUUGACGUGACGAAAGGGAAAGGUAAAUCAAUCGCAUUCUUCGUAAAAGCACCUGCACGAGUAACAAAAGUCAUACGGUGACAUAUAUUUAAAUAACCAUUUUGAAGAUAAUAAAAAGCGCCUCAUAGUUUAUUAACAAUUCGAACAUGGCACGUGCCAAAUUUCAUAUAAACAAAGAACAAAAUCAUCUAUGUGUUAUUCUGCAAUAAUAAUGGGCGGUGCUUAUAAUGAAAGCACGCGCUGUAACUAAACAAAACAUGCCGAUACAUUUUCCACCAGCGUAAUAAUCCGGAAUUUUGUGAAUGAAAGUCAAGUGACAAAAUACUAUGCUAUGAAAACAAAUGCGUAUAAUUGACCAAAUUUCCCACGGUGUUCGUCUGCUGCUUCGAUACUAAAAUGGCUGAAGUUCGAAUCAGGGCAGCGUUGAUGUCAUAAAUAAAUCCAAAGAUGAAAAACACUUCCUGUUCACAAACAGUGAAACACGAACAACGGAUGAAGAUGAGACGUUGACAAACGGGAGAAAUGACACGUUUUUCUUCCAUCCAGUUUGGCUGUUAUUGACGGCGGAGUUCUGAUCGACAGAACAGCCGAAUGUUUUCAUUGGCGGUACUUCACACAAAAUAGUACAAAAGAAAAAUAAGAUACAUUGUAUAAAUCGUAAAAAAUGUGUUAGAAUCGAAAUUAUUCGUGUUCGUUAUAGUUUGUUGUCGAAUAACCCACGGCCGAAAGUUUAGAUGCGUGGAUUCAAAUCACAAUCACUCGUGCUUCGCACUCGUGAUUUAAUCCCUACGCAUCUUAUUUUCCGGCCGUGGGUUAUUUUACAACAAACUAUAACGUACACAAAUUAUUUCUUAAAUGAAAAGAGAGUCGUCAAGAUUUACACAACGCUAUUAAACGAUUCAAUCAUCUAAUAAUUUAGUAAUAGUAUUUGCAAGUUGAAGUUUACUGGGUUUUUUUGUCAAGUGAUAGUUUCCCUUUCAGGUAUAAAUAUUGACAUGAUUAUAAAGUUAAACACAACCUUUAUGUGCAUUGUUUAUUUGAUGUCAAAUAGUCGGACUGAAAAUAGUUAUCGGACUUUGAUUCCGCGCAGGCGUAAAUAAUGAUGUAUGCUUCAGGCAAAUCGUGUAGGAAUAUAGGCGUAUGUAACUAACUAUGCAUUUUUCAGAGUACG